rnacentral:rRNA from 1 species
CACGUGGGUAAUUUACCUCUUAGUGGGGAAUAACCCUGGGAAACCGGGGCUAAUACCGCAUAAGCCUGCAAAGGGAAAGCAGCAAUGCGCUGAGAGAGAAGCCCGCGGCCGAUUAGCUAGUUGGUGAGGUAAUGGCUCACCAAGGCGGUGAUCGGUAGCCGGCCUGAGAGGGCACACGGCCACACUGGCACUGAAACACGGGCCAGACUCCUACGGGAGGCAGCAGUGGGGAAUCUUGCACAAUGGAGGAAACUCUGAUGCAGCGACGCCGCGUGAGCGAUGAAGCCCCUCGGGGUGUAA